rnacentral:rRNA from 1 species
CCCUUAGAUGUUCUGGGCCGCACGCGUGCUACACUGAGUGGAUCAGCGGGUCAGGUUGCGCGAAAGCGUUUCCUAAUCUUUAAAUCCGCUCGUGAUGGGGAUUGACGGUUGCAAUUUUCUGUCAUGAACGAGGAAUACCUUGUAAGCGCGGGUCAUCAUCCCGCGCUGAAUACGUCCCUGCCCUUUGUACACACCGCCCGUCGCUCCUACCGAUUGAAUGUUCCGGUGAACACUUUGGAAUAGUGCCUUUGUAUGGGGAAACUUGUACUUGGAUACUGUAAAGUUGUGUAAACCUUAACAUUUAGAGGAAGGAGAAGUCGUAACA